UAAAAAGCAGGGUCUUGUUGCCUCAUGUAAACAUGGCUCUCGUAAAUUUCAGGAAAAUUACCUGCAUUGUUAUUGGGUGAACCUCUGUAUCUAUUUGUAACUGAAGGUUCAGUAAAUGAUGACACAUUC